rnacentral:rRNA from 1 species
GAUGAACGCUGGCGGCGUGCUUAACACAUGCAAGUCGAACGGAAAGGCUCCUGCUUGCAGGGGGACUCGAGUGGCGAACGGGUGAGUAACACGUGGGUGAUCUGCCCUGCACUUCGGGAUAAGCCUGGGAAACUGGGUCUAAUACCGGAUAGGACGAUGGGUUGGAUGCCAUUGUGGAAAGUUCUUCGGUGUGGGCUGAGCGCGCGGCCUAUCAGCUUGUUGGUGGGGUAAUGGCCUACCAAGGCGUCGACGGGUAGCCGACCUGAGAGGGUGUACGGCCACAAUGGGACUGCGGUACGGACCAGACGGCUACGGGGGGCAGCAGGGGGAAGUAUUACACAAUGGGGGCAAGCCUGAUGCGGAGACGCCGGGUGGGGGAAGACGGCCUUCGGGUAAUGAACACGUUUGGCUAAAGACGAAGCGCAGGUGACGGUACCUGGAGAAGAAGCACCGGCUAACUACGUG